UCACAAUUUAUUACGCAGCAUUUCGUGCUUACGUCUGUCCAGUCACAAUUUUCGGGUGGAAACCCAAAGGCGUCAAGAGAAUAGACGUUCAUACGAGCUCAGGAUUUGCAAUAAAUGUGAUUGGCACACUGUACAAGAGGAAGAGCACAUUAUUCUGGACUGCCCUUCUGAGGAUCUGGCAGGCUUGCGCGCUCAGUUCCAGCAUCUGUUUUCUGCAAUGCCUGGAAAUGGUGCAACACGGUUUCGAG
rnacentral:lncRNA from 1 species